rnacentral:rRNA from 1 species
CGCUCUACGCAUAUUAUUUAAAGCAUCUCCUGCUCAGUGACAUUAACAGCCGCAGAAUUUUUACUGUGCUAAGGUAGCAUAAUCACUUGUCUUCUAAUUAAAGAAUAGAAUGAACGGAAACACGAAUUUUAGACUGUUUCAUUUUUACUUAAUAAAACUACAAAAAAGUAAAAACUCUUUUAAAUAAAAAAAAGACGACAAGACCCUAGAACUUAACUUAAGUUAAGCUGGGGCGGCUUUUUAAAAAAAUCUUAAUACAAUUCCUUAUACAUAAAAAUAUAAAAGUUACCUUAGGGAUAACAGCAUAAUUAAAUUCUCCAGCUCUUAUUUAAAAUUUAGAUUAUGACCUCGAUGUUGAAUUAAGCUUCUUUUAAAAGGAAAAAAUUAAAACGAAAGUCUGUUCGACUUUUAAUUACUUACAUGAUUUGAGUUCAGACCGGUGUAAACCAGGUCGGUUUCUAUCUUUUUCAAUAAUUAGCCAGUACGAAAGGACCUCUAAAUAUAUUAAAAAU